CGAUUCGAGCGCAGCGAGAAAGCGUUGCCGCAGGCAACGACCCGAAGGGCGAAGCGCGCAGCGCUGAGUAAUCCUUCCCCCACCACCA
rnacentral:sRNA from 1 species